UUCUCCUACGGGGCGCAGCAGUGGGGAAUAUUGCGCAAUGGGCGAAAGCCUGACGCAGCGACGCCGCGUGAGGGAUGAAGGUCUUCGGAUCGUAAACCUCUGUCAGCAGGGAAGAACGGUCACUGUGCUAAUCAGCAGUGAAUUGACGGUACCUGCAAAGGAAGCACCGGCUAACUCCGUGCCAGCAGCCGCGGUAAUACGUAUGGUGCAAGCGUUAUCCGGAUUUACUGGGUGUAAAGGGAGCGCAGGCUGCGCGUUAAGCCUGGUGCGAAAGCCCGCGUCCCA
rnacentral:rRNA from 1 species